ensembl:lncRNA
CUGUGAACUGGAUCGCAUCCCAAGCUGUCCGAGGCAGGGACCAUCCUACCCGCCGCACAGGCUCACAAUGAAACGCACACGUCAACAUAUUACAGUUUACGGGAAGAGCCAUUUGAUUUUACGUUUGAUUAGGCUACUUACUUCACGGCGCCUUCGCGGAUGCUUCUUGACAGUCGGCUGAAGCAGAUAUGGAGGAGGAGAGAGAGGAGAACUGUAGCGUAGCAACGUGGCUCCAGCCCAGAGUCUCCCCGGCGCGUGAAGUCAACACUCCCAACGCUCCACACCGGCUGCUUGGCGUUAAUCUGCUCCGUGCAUCGGAGGAACCGAUGGAAGAAUGGACGACAGAGAAUAAUGGCCCCGUCUUCGUCAGUAUCGACUCCAACCUCUGCCAACACCGAGGACCAGUUCUCCCGUCCCAUCCCCUCCAGGCUUGUCAUGCUAGGUAAAAGUCUUGUUCAAUAAAAGUGGUCUUUUGAAGAUAAAUACAAUUAGGUGGAAACAGUAAAUACAGUCAGGUAACUCAAAAAAACGGAAAAAACUCUAAGGCAACUACAUCUUAUUCAGAAUGCUGCUGCUAGAGUUCUAACAAAGACCAAAGAAUUUGAACAUAUUACACCAAUUUUAAAAUCGUUACAUUGGCUCCCUGUAGGUCAGAGAAUUGAUUUUAAAAUCAUGUUGCUAACCUAUAUAUCCCUACAUGGUUUAGGGCCAAAAUAUUUAACUGAUAUGCUUCCACUACAUAAGCAAUCUAGACCACUAAGAUCAUCUGAGACCAAUCUGUUAAAUAUAGACACGAAACAUGGGAAAGCAGGAUUUAGUUACUAAGCAACAAUAGCUGGAAUAAACUCCCUGAGGAUUUAAGACUUGCCCCAACUCUGACCACUUUUAAAACAAGACUGAAGACUUUUAUGUUUGCUUUAGCUUUCUACAAAGUCUUAAAUCUAAAAUGCUUUUUUUUAACCUUGCCUUUAUUUUCUAUUUAAUUAAUUAAAUCCUUUUUUUAACUUUGCCUUU